rnacentral:lncRNA from 1 species
CCUCAUUCAACCAGUGCGUAACACCGAGGACAGGUCACGCAGCCAUCCCGCAGCCCUGAACGCAUUUUCACGGCGCUCAUUCCUCUCGGCGCGCGAAGCUUCUCUGAGACACAGUUUGGGAUAAACAGUAACCUCACCUCACUUAACCCGGGACAUUGCGUGUGUGUUUGUGUGUGUGUGUGUGUGUGUGUGUAACGGGACUUCUUGCUGCGGAGCUUGCAGCUGGUUCGCCUGCCUUACCUGUCCCACCCGCCGCUCCGCGGUGCGUCGUGUCCGGCCAGCAGCGUCCCCAGCUGUGGUAACCCAUCUGUUGGAUCAGAACCAUCAGGAUGAAGAUGAGAACGUCCGGAGCUCUGUGUGGCUUCUUCCUGUUGACACUUGUCGUCCUCGCCGCCGCCAGGCCGAGAGCAGGUCAGUCUGCCGACACGGAGAGAAACACAUUAAAGACAAAAGAGAGAAAGAGUUUCUGUUAGUUUCCUCCUAAUUGGUUCUCUUCAACUCC